GUGAGUAGUUCAGAGUUUGAUCCUGGCUCAGGAUGAACGCUGGCGGCGUGCAUAACACAUUCAAGUCGAACGGACUUAAGUUUUCGGACUUAAGUUAGUGGCGGACGGGUGAGUAACGCGUGAGUAACCUGCCUAUGUGAGAGGAAUAACACAGGGAAACUUGUGCUAAUACCACAUAAAGUAUGAUGAUCGCAUGAUCGACAUACCAAAGAGCAAUCGCACGUAGAUGGACUCGCGUCUGAUUAGAUAGUUGACAGGGUAACGGCCUACCAAGUCUACGAUCAGUAGCCGAACUGAGAGGUUGAACGGCCACAUUGGAACUGAGAAACGGUCCAG
rnacentral:rRNA from 1 species